UACUAGAAUUUAUUUUAUUUCGAUCUCACAUCUUUACUGUUAACACAAGUUACAUAACAGUACUGACUUGUGCUCUCUUCCUUCUGUUUUACUCCAUAUCACCAUCUCAUCAUCUUUCUGAAAUUUGGAGGCUCAUUGAACGAGGCUUAGCUAGCAAGGGUCUUUCAAAAGUAACCCUUUUGCACCCCUUUCAACUCUCUUUUCAAUCACCACCACCACCUUCUUACUCUUCUUACUUAACAUCUCCUUUUGUCUAUUCUGUUCUGUUCUUCACUUGUAUUUUUCUAGCUCAACUUCUUGCAAACAUAAACAUUUCUUUAUAAACUUUCAUCUCCUCUUGUUUUGCAUUUUAAAAAAUGGGCUGUGAUCAAAAUCUCUUGAUUCAUGCCCAUCACAAACUUAUCCGAUCCACCAUUUAUUUGCUCUUCCUUUUAAUUUCAACUUCAACUCAUCACAGUUACACUGCUGCAGGCAGAAUAUUGGGGGAUCCACUAGCUGGCUCUCAGGAAGACAAAUCAAUUUUGAGCGGCCAGAUUGGCUCAAGGCCGCCGCGAUGCGAAAGAAGGUGUGGCUCUUGUGGGCAUUGUGAAGCCAUUCAAGUCCCAACCAACCCUCAGAUCAAAGCAGGAAACAAAAACUCAACAACUGUUUACAAAAUUGCAUACUCAAGAGGUGAAGACAAUUCCAACUAUAAGCCUAUGAGUUGGAAAUGCAAAUGCGGCAACUUCAUCUUCAACCCCUGAUGAUCAAGAACCAGGAUCAUGGUUUUCGAUAUUUGAACUAGUUAAGUGAUGAAUUCGUGUCAUAAAAUUGAUCGAAGUUUGUGUAAAUGAAUGAGUUUACUGUCAAGAGUUAUAAACAAGUAAAGGGGAAGUACAUUGUUUCUUUUUUGAUGCA